rnacentral:lncRNA from 1 species
UAUGGUAGGAGAGGAACAAGAUGGCAGAAUAGAAAGCUCCACCAAUUGUUCUCCACUGAAGGACACCAAGUUAACAACUAUCUACAUGGGAAAAACACCUUCAUAAGAACCAAAGAUCAGAUUUGCAUUACAAGAAAGACUGACGGAUUUUAAACCACACCUAAAAGAAAAGAAGUGGUGGCGAAUAAAUUGUAGACUCUCCCAACUCAUCAUGUAGAUAUAUUAUACAAGCAAAUUACUAGCAGUCUUGGAGAAUAUUCAAUGAAUGCCUUUACAUGUUUGUAAGCAAAUAUAAAUUGUAUCAGAAUGUUGAGAGAUUGUAAUUAGUGGAAAUAACUAGCUGAAAUAAAAUUUUAAAUAACGUGUUUCUAAGAAGUUAAACAAUAGGCCUAAGACUUUUUUCACACAUUAUUAACCUCUAGGUAGAAGUGCUGUUAAUUAGUAGAAUAAUGUUCAAAGAAACAAUAAUAGGAUGAUACAAGAAAAUCCUUGCUAAUGAACACUGGCUUUGAUUUAUGUUUUUGCUCAGAGUUUUCCAAGAAAUAUGCACAUUUAUAAGAAAUUGUGGAUCACAUCAUUAUAUUUUCUUGAAUUAUUUGUGUCCUCUGUUAUCUCUCUGACAAUUCCAUGAAGCUCGAAAUUUACUUUAAAGAAAAAUAAUAUUACAUUUUGUAUUAACUCAAAAGGUUUCUCCCUGAGGUAAAUGAUGUUAUAUUCUGAAACGAACUAUAAGUAAUCUAGAUGCCUAUCUAGGAGAAUAUGAAAAGUUAGGUUCUGCGUUUUUCUACCACACAGCUUUAAUGCUUUCUCAUUAAACAAGCAAAGAUAGGUCCCUAUGGCAUGGCCCGUUACUAGUGUUGCCAGUUAUUAAUGUUAAAAAUAGAGCUAAUGUUAAAUUCAUUUAUUUUCUUAUGACAGUGGUCCCCCAUUAUCCCUGGGGGAUAUGUUCCAAGACCCUCAGUGGAUGCCUGAAACUGUAGGUAGGACCAAACCCUAUUUAUGCUAUGCUAUAUUUUUUUCCCAAACAUACAUACCUGGGCUAAAGCUGAAUUUGUUAAUUAGGCACAGUAAGAGAUUAACAACAAUAAUAAUGACAUAGAAAAAAUAUAACACCAUACUGUAAUAAAACUUACGUAAAUGUGGCCUCUCAAAAUAUCUUACUGUACUGCAGAUCUUAGACCCCUCAGUAUACAAUUUUUUUCCUUAUUAAAUUGAGAACUUUUGCCUUUUCACUUAAAGGAAGCACUUUGCAGCUUCUCUUUGGCAUAUCCAAAUUGCCAGUAUCACUACUCUUGCACUUUGAGGUCAUUAUAAAAUAAAAUACCGGUUAUUUGAAUACGAGCACUGCAAUACUGCCACAGUCAUUCUGAUGCCUGAGGUGGUUGACUAUCAAUCAAUGACUGACUAAUGGUUGGUAGUUUAGAUAGUGUGGGUACCCUGGACAAAGAGAUUAUUCAUGUGUCAAGUGGGAUGGAGGGGUACAGUGAGAGAUGUUUUUAAACUUAUGAAUUGUUUAUUUCUGGAAUUUUCUAUUUAAUGAUUUUGGAACUCCACUGAUCACAGGUAACUGAAACCAUGGAAAAUGAAACUGCAAAUAAUUAGGGACUACUAUAUUCAAAUGUUGUCCUUCAAAAAAUUCUCACCCUUCUCCCUCCCUUUGCCCCUUGCUUAUUCCUUCCUGCCCUUUCUUCUGUUGUCUACUUACUCAUCAAACACUUUUUGAACAGGGAACAAAGUAGACAUUGGUUAAAGAAGAGGUUAUAUAUUAACUCGUAUUUAUAGUCUCAUGGUCUGCAUUAGCUCUCUGAGUCUGAUCUCAGGUGUUUCCUAGUGAAAACAAAGUGCUACUCCCUGAUAAUCUUUCUGUGUCCUUUUGAAAAAGCAACACAUUUGCUCUCACCUAGCUUUAACUGUAAAAGAUAAGUUUUUUAACACUGUGGCAUUGAAAGUACUUUAGGUAUUUGGCAUUUCUUAGUAUUUGGGGAAAUAUUGACGAUUUCACUCAAAGAGUUUUGCUACUUAUAAUAUAGAUAGACAUAAUUAUUUCUUUUUUUUUUUUUUUUUUUUUUUUGAGACAGAGUUUUGCUCUUGUUAUCCAGGCUGGAGUGCAAUGGCUCAAUCUCGGCUCACUGCAACCUCUGCCUCCCGGAUUCAAGCAAUUCUUCUGUCUCAGCCUCCGAAGUAGCUGGGAUUACAGGCAUGGGCCACCACGCCCAGCUAAUUUUGUAUUUUUAGUAGGGACAGAGUUUUGCCAUGUUGGUCAGGCUGUUCUUGAACUCCCUACCUCAGGUGAUCCACCCGCCUUGGCCUCCCAAAGUGUUGGGAUUACAGGCAUGAGCCACCACGCCCGGCCUAACAUAAUGAUUUCAACAUCAAUUUUAACAAUGCAUUAAGUUCAGCUAUUUUCUAGUUUUGAGUAAAUGGAAAAUAUUAAUAAAUAACUUGGAGCUAAGCAAACUUUUCUAUUCUGUAAAUCAGGCAAAAGGUUAUUUUACAAUCUUUCUUGGACUAGCUUAAAUGUGAAGACUUAGCAUACUGGUGGGAAAAUAAUAAGGUUUUAUACAAGUUGAAUUUUUAAAAAUAUGCCAGGAGAUUUAAAAAACAUCUACAGAAAUACUAAAAGCUAAAUGGUAAAAUGAAAUACAUGCAUGUGAAUUGUUAUUUAUGUAAAUAAAGUUUAUCACACAAUAUAUGCAGCAAAUAUAGACUACACAUACAUUUCCAUGAUUUUUUCUCUCAGAACAAUCAUCUUGAUGUUCUUUCCAUUUCUAUCCUUGCAUAAUAAUUUAUUAACUAAAAGUCAUAAUGGGUGGUUUUCAUAUUCCAUGAGUAAACAUGAAGCUCAUCAUCUUCUUCCCUCU